GACGGACGCUGGCGGCGUGCUUAACACAUGCAAGUCGAACGGAAAGGCCCCCUUGUGGGGUACUCGAGUGGCGAACGGGUGAGUAACACGUGAGUAACCUACCCUUGACUUUGGGAUAACUUCAGGAAACUGGGGCUAAUACCGGAUAGGAGCUCCUGCUGCAUGGUGGGGGUUGGAAAGUUUCGGCGGUUGGGGAUGGGCUCGCGGCUUAUCAGCUUGUUGGUGGGGUAGUGGCUCACCAAGGCUUUGACGGGUAGCCGGCCUGAGAGGGUGACCGGCCACAUUGGGACUGAGAUACGGCCCAGACUCCUACGGGAGGCAGCAGUGGGGAAUAUUGCACAAUGGGCGGAAGCCUGAUGCAGCAACGCCGCGUGCGGGAUGACGGCCUUCGGGUUGUAAACCGCUUUCGCCUGUGACGAAGCGUGAGUGACGGUAAUGGGUAAAGAAGCACCGGCUAACUACGUG
rnacentral:rRNA from 1 species